AUACGUAGGUGGCAAGCGUUGUCCGGAUUUAUUGGGCGUAAAGCGAGCGCAGGCGGUUUCUUAAGUCUGAUGUGAAAGCCCCCGGCUCAACCGGGGAGGGUCAUUGGAAACUGGGAGACUUGAGUGCAGAAGAGGAGAGUGGAAUUCCAUGUGUAGCGGUGAAAUGCGUAGAUAUAUGGAGGAACACCAGUGGCGAAGGCGGCUCUCUGGUCUGCAACUGACGCUGAGGCUCGAAAGCGUGGGGAGCAAACAGGAUUAGAUACCCUGGUAGUCCACGCCGUAAACGAUGAGUGCUAAGUGUUGGAGGGUUUCCGCCCUUCAGUGCUGCAGCAAACGCAUUAAGCACUCCGCCUGGGGAGUACGACCGCAAGGUUGAAACUCAAAUGAAUUGACGGGG
rnacentral:rRNA from 1 species